ACGGAGGGGGCGAGCGUUGUCCGAAGUCACUGGGCGUAAAGCGCGCGUAGGCGGGCGAUUAAGUGGGAGGUGAAAGGCUGGGGCUCAACCCCAUGCAGUGCCUCCCAUACUGGUCGUCUUGAGGGCGGUAGGGAGAAGUGGAAUGGCUGGUGUAGCGGUGAAAUGCGUUGAUAUCAUCAGGAACACCGGUGGCGAAGGCGGCUUUCUGGGUCUUACCUGACGCUGAGGAACGAAAGCCAGGGGAGCGAACGGGA
rnacentral:rRNA from 1 species